rnacentral:rRNA from 1 species
UGGGGAAUUUUGGACAAUGGGCGCAAGCCUGAUCCAGCCAUGCCGCGUGAGUGAAGAAGGCCUUCGGGUUGUAAAGCUCUUUCGGACGGGAAGAAAUGGCGGGCUCUAACAUAGCCUGUCGAUGACGGUACCGUAAGAAGAAGCACCGGCUAACUACGUGCCAGCAGCCGCGGUAAUACGUAGGGUGCGAGCGUUAAUCGGAAUUACUGGGCGUAAAGCGCGUGUAGGCGGUCGUGCAAGUCGGGUGUGAAAGCCCAGGGCUCAACCCUGGAAGUGCAUUCGAUACUGCAUGACUACAGUCCCGGAGAGGAUGGUGGAACUCUCGCUGUAGAGGUGAAAUUCGUAGAUAUCGAGAAGAACACCGGUGGCGAAGGCGGCCAUCUGGACGGUGACUGACGCUGAGACGCGAAAGCGUGGGGAGCAAACA